CAAUCAAUCAAUACUGGACCCCUCAUGAUUUGUCACCUCCCAAUGAAAUAAAACAAUGUCAGCUGUUUUUUUUAAAUAAUUCUGCCUAAAAUGGAUUAAACUUGUGUUUGUGCAAGUAUAGCAUACUCGAACUCGAGGAAACAUUUCAACUUUCUGAGAAAACAUCAGCUUCUGAUUCUUUCUGCAAGGACAUGUAAAUGGGAUGGCUACCCUUAAUCUCAUUCCCUAAAAGAUGAAGAAGAUAGGUUCAUUGCUGCGGAAAUCUCGGAUCCAAAUUCGAAUUUCCUCGAAAACCGAAUAAAAAAAAUGGGGUGCUCACAGGCAGGCACUUACCUUGUUUGUUUGCUAGGGAACGAGCAGAUAAAUGGGAAGAGGAAAUAAGAAACAGGAAGAAGAGAAGAAGAACACCAGAAAUAAAGCUUUGCUUCAUGGUUUUAGCCACACUGCCCUUCAAGUAAGCGAGAGAGAGAGAGAGAGAGAGAGUGUGUGUGUUGGGAAUUGGAAUGGUGGAAAUGGAAGUGGGGAUAUGUUGCAUAUAAAUACGUGCGAAGAAAAGCUUAGCACCGGAAGUUAAUCACAUGAAGGCUGUUUCACAUAGGCCAUAACCCCCCACAAACAAUAAUUAUUUACUCAAGAUGUGGGGCUAAUGGCUAAAAAGUAAAAACCAUGAUCUUGGAUUACAAUAAUAUUUAAGGUCUUUAAACGUGUGACAACAGCAGCAAUAUUAAGAGGGGAGAGAAAGAGCUUGAGUCACUGUCUACCAGGGUGGUCCAAGCAAAGUCCAAGAACUCUCAUAGAUCAAUGUAAUAGUGGUUUUGACAGCGUCUAACAAGUCAACCUUUUGGACAUUGCUAACA